UGGGGAAUAUUGCACAAUGGAGGAAACUCUGAUGCAGCGACGCCGCGUGAGUGAAGAAGGUCUUCGGAUCGUAAAACUCUGUCCUUGGUGACGAAAAAAUGACGGUAGCCAAGGAGGAAGCCCCGGCUAACUACGUGCCAGCAGCCGCGGUAAUACGUAGGGGGCAAGCGUUGUCCGGAUUUACUGGGUGUAAAGGGUGCUCAGGCGGAUUUGUAAGUCAGAGGUGAAAUCUUACAGCUUAACUGUGAAACUGCCUUUGAUACUGCAAGCCUAGAGUAUGGAAGAGAGUGAUGGAAUAUCUGGUGUAGCAGUGAAAUGCGUAGAUAUCAGAUAGAACACCAAUGGCGAAGGCAGUCACUUGGUCCAUUACUGACGCUAAAGCACGAAAGCGUGGGUAGCAAACA
rnacentral:rRNA from 1 species